AUAUAAAUGUUCCAUUUGAGUGCGGCGGUGUUAUGGCCGCAUUAGUUUAUUGUUGUGUGCACAUUUUUUUCUCUUUAACAAUGAAAUCGUUUCUUUUUUUUUCAGCAAUUAAAUUGCCAGUGUGUAUGAUUUCAAUGUUAUUUUGUAUCGAAAAAAAGUUUCAAAAAAGAAAAAACUCGGGACGAUUGAUAUUAAUUAAUCAACCGAGAUCGUUAAUCGUUUAAAUUGCGCACCGAAAUUAUCGAAAUUUUAUUGAAUUCCAAUCGAAAAGUGAAUGUGAUCAAAUUUGGCAAAUGAUGCUGUAGCAAACGUGUUUAAUGAUGCUCGACCAUUUUUGUGGUUGACUUUUGGGCGACCAGUUGAACAAAAACAAUGUAGCGAACAAUUUAAUUGAGAAAUUGAUAUGGGUUAAGUCACUAGAACAUAUGACAUACCGCAUUUUCAACCAACGCUAUAUUUCACAAUGAUAUUCUGUAUUGUUUUCAGAUUACCCGAAAGCCAUUACCAUUCCAAAAUAUGAAAACUGGCUUCAGCUCACUCACUCAAUUCAAUAAUUCUCUCUGUCUCUCUAUCGUUAUAUCUAUCUCUCUCUCUCGCUCACUUCAUCUCUCACUCUGACUCUCGUUUAUGCCAAAAAACUGUUCGCUGUGCAAAUUUUAUUUCAUUUUCUUUUUCAAUGUUAUGCGAAUUUGGAACACACGCACACAUCCCCAUUGUCCGAGUUAUUUUUAUUACGUAUCUCUUUUUUGGUGUGCUCAAGUGGAUGUAGCCUAGUUGUGUACUAGUUAUGAUGGCUAAACUGAUGAAUUGAACUUAAUUUUUGCGCAUAGAUUUAAAUUUGCGAAUUAAAAAAAAGAGAAAGAAAAAUACACACAGUCAUACACACACACAGUCAUACACACACACGGCAUACGCGAAAACGAAAGAAUCUAGGUCAGCUAAUUCGAUAACAGUCAUAAGAUACGUUUUUAAACUGAAUUGCGGGCGCGAACAGUUUAGAUGUUGUGUGUUGACUAUUUUUUUUUUAUGAAAUUAUGGCAGAUUAUGAGAGAGAAAGAAAUUGGCACACGAAUCAUAAACGCGCGAAAUAAAAUAGCACAAAAUCUAAGUAGAUCAAGUUUGAACUUCCGUGAAAAAAAAACUAUACGGGGCGCACACUCACUUAUGCUUAAUCACACGUACACUCAUUCGCAUUCUUCAUUUCCAAUGACGACGAUCACUACGGCCCGCUUUUUGUACGUUCAUUUGAUGUGCUGUCAAAUCUCAUAACUACAACUUACUGGGAUAACUAUUCAUUUCUUCAACUUUCUUUCCAAUCUCCGAUGGUUAUGUCGUCAUCGAAAUUGAUUCCAAUCGCCACCAAAUUCACAAUGAAAUACACUAUUUUAAGUCGAUUUUACUUUUUGCUUCGAAUAUUACGUUUAAACACACAAUUACUUUUGUUUUAAUGAAUUUUUUCUUGCCAACAAUGGAAAAAAGCGAAAAAAAUUGUAAGUUAUCAUUGAACUUUUACACAUUUUUUUCUCUUUCUCUUUUCGACAUCGUGGAGACACAGCGAUUUUAAUACGUUAGUCGUCGUGGUUUUGCCAAUGGCGCUGCCGGUCCUUUUCAAUUUGAUUGUUUUUUUUCUUACGUUUCGCUCUCUUACAUACAUGCACAUCUUUUACUUGCCCAUUGUGACGGUAAAGGAGAGAAUGAACGACUAAAAAAAGUUAUACUUUGACACACACGAUGACAGUAGCACCGAAUUUUGACACACAACCACACACGUUUUUAAUUUCAAUCGAAGAAAAAAAAACUUUCAUCUUCGGCCAUUUUUCUUGUCUUUCAAUUCAAACACAAAAGAAUUUUUAACGAUUUCAUUUUCGCUACUCGGCGUUUUUUUUCCACGACAGCCGAAAAUUUUCGGCUCGAAAGCACAUUUUUAAAGUUAUUUCACUAAACUUUAGCCAUUUUGCCACCAUUUUUUUUCGGACCCCUUUUUUUUCUUGAUGAAUUUUUUUCAAGUGCGUCGAUAUCGCGUUAUCGCCAGAAAUAAUCCUGCGCAAUUCAUGAAUUUAUGCAAAUGAAAUGCAAUUUUUUCAAUUUUUACUUGAAAAAUGGUCAAAAACUUUAAAACUUUAACUUCUUGAAAAAAAAAUCACCAAUCCCAAUCUCUUAAUGGAUCUAUGUGCCAUUGGGUUCCAUGUGUCUGAAGAAUUCCGCGAUUUUUUUUUAAAAGUUACGUCAAUCAAAUUGGGCUCUUAUCUCUCUGUUCCCGGCUUAUUUUACCUAAAACGGAACUGAUAGCACUUUUAGUUUGUACCGAAUAUAUAUAUUGGACUCUCUUACACAACUACAUACACGAUACGCACACCGAAAACUAGUCAAACUAAUUAGAAAAUGUUCAGAUAUGAUGAAAAUCAACGCAUUUUUCUGCAAAGAUGAUUUUUAAUACAAAAAAAAAAGUUUUGUGUAUCGGAAAAUAGAUGAUUUGGUGGCAACACUUUCCGCUUGAUGGAAAUUACAAAAUUGUGGUGCCCGUGUAGACAGCAGUCUUUCGAUUGUCGUGUGUGUCGAAUUUGAAAUUGAAAAAAAUAAAUAAACGUUUCGAUUGUGUGCCAAAAAAAGAGAGAAGAGAGUAGUAUGUAUGGAGAACGGACGGCAAAAAAAAAGAAUUAGCAAUCGUGAGCAGCGCUCUGAACUGAGUUGAGCUGUCACGUCACUUGUUUCUGGUGGAAAAAGAAAACGCAAACGUACGAUUUAUUCUUCUGCAACCUAAAACGAUGUGUUUGUGUUUGAGUGUGUGUGUUGUCGUCACUCGUUUGUGCCUUUUUCAAUUUUACAUAGAAUUUUUUUUUCUUUUAAAUAUUCAUUCACAUUGUUUCCGUGGUUUCUGUCUGCACGACGAUAGAACAUCAUAUUCUUUUAAAAUGAAUGAAAUAAAAAAAAAUCACACACCAACACCACGCAAAUUAUGAAGCAAAGUUUUAAGUCCAGAAAUAUUCGCAAAUACAUGUACGCAUGCAUGACGUUGAGUGGCAGAGAGAAUGAGAGACAGUGACUAAGAGAAGCAGCGCGAGAGAGAGGCUAAAAUGUAUUUUGCACACUCGCAUUCGAAAGCGGCAGUGAAACAAUAACAAAAUCAACGAUGAGAGUUGGUGUUGAACGAACAAGAGUUUGUGUAUGUGAUAGAGCAAGUUAAGUACGAUGUAAACGAUUUCAUGCCAAUAGAUGUGCUAUAGCAUACGAAAUACACUUGGAACUUUGGAUAAAAUCAUAUACAAUUUUUUUUUCUUGCUUUGAACCACACCACACUUUGACACAACCAACGAUUUCAGAUGCUGAACACAGUAAUGGCACAACAAUAUACAUGAUGAUAUAGUUUUAAUUAAACGAGUAUCAUUCGUUUUUGGCAUUUUCAUACUUAUUUUUCUUACGAUUUUUAAAUUUCAGAAAUAUCAUCACAGCCACAUGAACACGCUUAGGGAAGAUUGAACAAAGAAUGUUUCGCACUGCAAGUGGUGGAAGAAAAACGAAGAAAACACAACCGACUCGUGUCUUAUAAUUUCUGCUAUAGGGGUAAUUAGAUAUUAUGAAGCGAACUUUCGAAGACAGAGAGGAAGAGAGAGAGGAGUGUCUUAUUUAACUAAUUGAAGAGCGGGCAUGAGGGAUAGAGAAACUUAGAUGCGCGAAAACUUUAAUUUUCAUCUGUAGAUUUAAUUAUGGAAAAUAUACACCGUCGAUGCAAUUUGUAGGUCACAAUUAACAGCAAAAAUUACAUGAAGAAAUUUACACGAUGCAACUCUAAAGCUUGCAUACCAUUUUUAACGGAUUUAAUUACUUUUCGGUUUGAAAGAUCGAUGCAGUAACGCUAGGAUGCUAUUUAAUACGUUGCACGCUGUGAAAAUGAACAAGGCAAAAGUAUUUUCUCAGCUUUAUAACAUUUUCGUUUGCACCGAGAGAAUUUUGCAAGUAUGUUGCGAUAAAGCGCUCGUCACACAUUUGUAAUUCCUAUCUUUAUAUUUUUAUUUCGGAAUUUUUUUUUUUUCAAAGUAAAAUUAUAAUUUUUAUUGCGCCAGGGAAACAUGCUUCGAAAAUUACUAUCCACAGAGACACACCAUUUCUUCUAUUGCACAACAUGCAAGCAUGGAAAAAAGUGCAACAAAAACUUUUUGCAGUUGUACGCGUUUGAAUUUGAAAUUGGCUCUCUCAAGUGAGAUAGAUUUUACAACUUCUUUUUAUGAAAUGAUGCAUGAGUGGGAACAAGGGAAAAUUGGAUGGAAAAUAAUAAAAAUUACAUUUUAUAACAUGUAGGUGGAUAAGUCAUGCUUGUACAUU